rnacentral:rRNA from 1 species
GACGAACGCUGGCGGCGUGCUUAACACAUGCAAGUCGAGCGGAAAGGCCCGUUUCGGGGGUACUCGAGCGGCGAACGGGUGAGUAACACGUGAGUAAUCUGCCCUUCACUCUGGGAUAGCCCUACCGGAAAGGGGGAUUAAUACCGGAUACGACCAUGGUACGCAUGUGCUUGUGGUAGGUAAAGGUUUUCUGGGUGGGGGAUGUGCUCGCGGCCUAUCAGCUUGUU